UGCCACCUGCCUCACAAGCACAAGGUCCUGAGUUCAAUCCAUGGUACCAAAAAAAAUUUUUUUUGCUUACUCUGUCCUUUGUAAGGAACACUGUUGAAAAAAUAUAUUAAAGGAAAGUAGGCUAUAAAAGAAAAUCAAGAUAAUGGUUUACUUUCUGGAAUGAUUUUCUAGAUGACAGCUUAUCCUUCCAUUAAUCUAGAGGUAAAAACAGGAAAAAGGGAAUUAAAGUCAAAAGCAGAGGAAAAGGCAUCCCAACUUUGGGGUGAUGGAAAGCUCCAACACAAGAGCUACCCUGCAGAACUAGAGAGCCAUCAGCCCAAAUGAGAGGAAGACAGAAGCUCAGGAAGAGAACUCUUCAGGAAGAUGAAACUUGUACCAGGAACUGAACUCAGGACCUUGCGCUUCCCUGGCAGGCAUAUUUUUAAUGCUCAAGAUGCUAUGGUGAACAGAACUAUCAGAUUACUGGAUGUCAUCUUGAACAGAAAAUAAAAACAUCAUGUAUAUUGGAUGUACACAAGGCCUCAUGCAACUUAAAAGUGAUGCUGAGCUUUGCAGGUGCUUUAGCAGAAGAAACAUAAGUAGUACAACAAUGCUUUAAAGAAGCAUUGUCAGACUGUCCAGAUCAUGGAAGAAAAUAAGGAGUAGAAGAAGUGGCUCACAUGCCUAUAGACCCUAGAAGGAAACUGACUCGAAUGACUUAAAUUUCCAGCUUCACUUUUAUUAGCUUAGAGGGGCAGUUUUCAAAGUAUUUUUCUGCUGCCAAAAUGAAAGUCGUUAAUUAGAGUGCAGACUUACAAAUAAAAUGGCAUGUAAACACUAAAUAUUACAUAUCCUAAAACUUGAUGGUUAGGUAAGUUCAUUAUAAUGACCAUUUUAGAAAAGAUCUAUUUCUCAGGACACAAA
rnacentral:lncRNA from 1 species